GUCCUUGCCGUAAACGAUGUAGAUUAGGUAUCGGGGUGUCGAUCCCCCGGCGCCGACGUUAACACAUUAAAUCUACCACCUGGGGAGUACGGUCGCAAGACUGAAACUCAAAGAAAUUGACGGGGACCCGCACAAGCGGUGGAGCAUGUGGUUUAAUUCGAGGCUACGCGAAGAACCUUACCCAGGCUUGACAUGGUUAAGACAGCGCAUGAAAGUGCGUUUCUCCGCAAGGAGCUUUUCCACAGGUGCUGCAUGGCUGUCGU
rnacentral:rRNA from 1 species